rnacentral:rRNA from 1 species
AUUGAACGCUGGCGGCAGGCCUAACACAUGCAAGUCGAACGGCAGCACAGAAGAGCUUGCUCUUUGGGUGGCGAGUGGCGGACGGGUGAGUAAUGUCUGGGAAACUGCCCGAUGGAGGGGGAUAACUACUGGAAACGGUAGCUAAUACCGCAUAACGUCGCAAGACCAAAGUGGGGGACCUUCGGGCCUCACACCAUCGGAUGUGCCCAGAUGGGAUUAGCUAGUAGGUGGGGUAAUGGCUCACCUAGGCGACGAUCCCUAGCUGGUCUGGGAGGAUGACCAGCCACACUGGAACUGAGACACGGUCCAGACUCCUACGGGAGGCAGCAGUGGGGAAUAUUGCACAAUGGGCGCAAGCCUGAUGCAGCCAUGCCGCGUGUAUGAAGAAGGCCUUCGGGUUGUAAAGUACUUUCAGCGGGGAGGAAGGCGGUGAGGUUAAUAACCUCGCCGAUUGACGUUACCCGCAGAAGAAGCACCGGCUAACUCCGUGCCAGCAGCCGCCGUAAAAC